UACGUAGGGGGCAAGCGUUGUCCGGAAUCAUUGGGCGUAAAGAGCGCGUAGGCGGUCCGGUAAGUCCGCUCUGAAAGUCCGGGGGCUCAACCCCGGGAGGCGGGCGGAUACUGUCGGGCUAGAGUCCGGAAGAGGCGAGUGGAAUUCCUGGUGUAGCGGUGAAAUGCGCAGAUAUCAGGAGGAACACCGGUGGCGAAGGCGGAUCUCUGGGCCAUAACUGACGCUGAGGAGCGAAAGCAUGGGGAGCGAACAGG
rnacentral:rRNA from 1 species